CACGAACUGCGCAAACGUUAUUCGGAAUCACUGGGCUUAAAGAGUCCGUAGGCGGCUCGGCAGGUGAGGUGUGAAAUCCCACGGCUCAACCGUGGAAUUGCGCUUCAAACCGCCGGGCUCGAGGGAGAUAGAGGAGAGCGGAACUGAUGGUGGAGCGGUGAAAUGCGUUGAUAUCAUCAGGAACACCGGUGGCGAAAGCGGCUCUCUGGGUCUCUUCUGACGCUGAGGGACGAAAGCUAGGGGAGCAAACGGG
rnacentral:rRNA from 1 species